rnacentral:lncRNA from 1 species
GCUUUGGCUCCAUCUGGGCCUGCGUAAAAUGCUGCAAUGCAAAAAGGGGGAGGGGGGAGGCGAAGGGGACCAUGUUACAGACAGAAACAGCGCAUGGGAUUUGGGAUAAAAACUCUGGUGAGAAGCUGGAAGGAAAACACGCCUGCCCAAUGCACACGGCAGCGAGGGCUGGAAAGGGGGCAGGGAGCCGCUCUGAAGGUAUGGAAAAGAAAAGAAGUGUUAUCAGGAGCUCCAGCUCCCUUUGGAGAAGCUUGCAGUCCCCUAUACCUGUUUCCUAUGGCUAUAUCCCUAUCGCUACAGGGAAUAUUCCCUAUAUCCCUUUAGCUCUAAGGAAUAGCUGUAGAGGAGCUAUAUCCAUAUAUAUAUGCCUAUAGCUAUAGAGAAUAGCUAUAGAGGAGCUACAUCUCUCUAUAUCCCUAUAGCUCUAGGGAAUGGCUAUAGAGGAAUGUGAGCUAUAGGGGAUAUUCCCUAUAUCCCUCUAGCUAUAGGGAAUAGCUAUAGAAGAGCUAUAUCCCUAUAUAUCAUGUUUUUGGCAAGGAGGAGCCCCGUGGCCACUGGCGGUCCCACCACGUCAGGGACAGAGUGCGAGCCACGAGUUGCUCCCAACGUAGAGCCAUGGGUGCAGGGGGGUCCAGUCGGGGUGGGUGAAAGCGUGGUACUGCCCGAACCACUGCCCCACGGCCCAAAUCCCCUCUUCGGGGGAAAGCUGGAGGAUGCCUUUCCUCCGGAUGUAUCCUCCAGCCACCCCAGUGGCCCACCAGUCCCCGCCGUCGGCCACCGCCACCUCCCAGUGGUGCUGCCCCACAGUGAAGCCUGGGCAGCCCAGCACACAGGGCUCGGUGGUGAACCUCUCCGGGGCAUCAGGCAGCGAAGCCCACAUGUCUCCCCGCCUCACACCUCGCCGAUCUGCUGCCAGGACCAGGAAGGGAUUGGCAGUGCCCAGGUCCAGGGUGACGUCCACUGGGGACAGAGGAGGAGAAGACCGUUAGGAGGGGCAGUCCUGGAGAAGGUGGGACACAUGGUGGCCCGUGUCUGCCCCGGUAAGAGAAGGCACCUCCUUGCCCCCAGGUGUCUCCAGCAUGGGGUGGGAAAACCCCUGGCACUGGAUUGCCCCAGUCUCGGUGACACCUUGAUGCUCCCAGGCGUGUCUGGGCACAACCCAGCUCAGAUAGAUGUCAAUCCAUGCCCCCAAAUUUCCUCUUUCUCCUAGUGGGCCAUGGAGGGAGCUUGGAUGUCUCUGGCAUGGGGUUGACAGGGGUAUCCAGCUGGGAUGUUGCAGCCACCACAUCUCAACCUCAUGGCAAGCCCAGGUCAGGACAAGGCCCAAGUGCAUUGACCCGCAAUGGCUCUUCCACAUCAGAGACAGAACGCAACUUUUUCCCAAGCAGAGGGCAACACCCCUCUUCUUCCCUUCUUGGAACUCACCUUUCUCACUCAUCUCCUCCACUUCAUUAGCCUGGGCCUCCCCCUCUUCUAGCUCCAGCUCAGGUACCUGCAUGUCUGCAGAAAAUCCACAGGACGUUGAUCAACAGGAUUCCCAGAUGGAAGUGGAUGGCAAGACUCAGUGCUGAAUGGUGAGAGAAGUGGAGGGAAUGAUGGAAGAGUCACAGCAUUUGAGCUCUUUUUAGACAGCCAGUGGUCCCCUGUGGGAUGACUCCAGGAAAGGAGAUUGUUGGAUGGGUCCUUCUGCCUUCAUCUUGGCGACAGCUCCCCACGCUCUCACAUGGUUGUGGGAUCUCAUUUAAUCCUUGCGUUGCACAUCUCCAUUUUGCCUGUCUUGGGAUUCCCCUCCCAGAGUUACUGCAGGGCCCCAUGGGGCUGUUUGUGGAGAUGCAGUUCCCAUGCCUCCCCCUGGCCAGCUGCAGGUUAGAGAUAAGAGCCUGCUGAGCCAUGGAGAGCAG